rnacentral:rRNA from 1 species
UGAGGAAUAUUGGACAAUGGGCGCAAGCCUGAUCCAGCCAUGCCGCGUGCAGGAUGACGGUCCUAUGGAUUGUAAACUGCUUUUGUACAGGAAGAAACAGUUCUACGUGUAGAACCUUGACGGUACUGUAAGAAUAAGGAUCGGCUAACUCCGUGCCAGCAGCCGCGGUAAUACGGAGGAUCCAAGCGUUAUCCGGAAUCAUUGGGUUUAAAGGGUCCGUAGGCGGUUAGAUAAGUCAGUGGUGAAAGCCCAUCGCUCAACGGUGGAACGGCCAUUGAUACUGUCUGACUUGAAUUAUUAGGAAGUAACUAGAAUAUGUAGUGUAGCGGUGAAAUGCUUAGAGAUUACAUGGAAUACCAAUUGCGAAGGCAGGUUACUACUAAUGGAUUGACGCUGAUGGGCGAAAGCGUGGGUAGCGAACAGGAUUAGAUACCCAGGUAGUCCCUGAGCGGGCUGGCAAGGCGCAU